GAGUCAGUGCUUCUGGGCCGCGAGGCAAACGCGCUGAUUACGCCUCACAUACUUAGAUAUGUGGAAGACCUCGAGUUCUUCUUCCGGAUUCCUUGGGGGAAGCACUCAUUCGCCAGACUCAUGCACUCGCUUCAAAAAGACAUGUUGAAAUAGAAGGCCAACUACGAGAAGAAGCUGAGUUCGGAUGUUCAGCACGAGUGCAAAUACACAGCAUAUGGCUUCGCACCUGCAGUACAAUAUUGGGCGUACGAGGCCAUUUUGGAGGUUGGGAAGAGGUAUGGCACGAAUCACGGGAUUCGGUUCCCCAGGAUGCUUAGCUGGACGAGCAAAGGCGAUAUUGGGAAGAAAGACGUCAGCGCAUUAUUUUCUAGACGGGUAUGAUUUUCACUUAUGUUCAGAAUAAUUAUUUAACAUAAAUGCUUGUAAUAAAUGCUAAAUGGUUCUAUUUUGAUAUUUUUUGAACCAUAAACAGAAUCUUGAAGUGGUGAAGGGGCUACUUCCACGGACAGAGGAGGAGGCAUUUGUGAGGACCAUAUCUUACGAUGGUGUGGAGAACCUGGUUGAUGAUGGUGUGGAUGACACAGAGGUUGAGGCAGGUAGUCAGGUACCAGAGACUCAGGUCCCAGACACUCAGGAAACAGACACUCAGGCCACUGGUUUAGAACCUCAGCCCAGUGCACCAUCUUCAUCAGGCGUUCGGGGUGCCGAGUACACUGAUUUAGUGGCGAGGUUGGAUAGGAUUGAGGCUGACACUAAGGGUCUGUAUGCUGCUCAUGUUGAGCUGAAGAAGGCAUACGAGACCAGCCAUGUAGAGCUGAAGGGUGGUUAGAACGUAAUUAUGGAGCAGCUCAGAGACAUAUUGGCCAUGUUGAAUCGUCCGCCAACGACAGCUUCAGCACCGGAGGCCCCAGCAGAUCCAUCUACCCCACCACCAACUGCUUCACCCCCAGUAGAAGAGGAGGAGGUCUUCCCCGACGGGUACGAUCCUUAUGAGGGAGCUCCAGCGACUCCGAUCGAUACAGGUGUUAUCCAUGUACAUGACACCGAGUCGCAGGGUGAGAUUCUGUCGAUAGAGGCACAACCUGCAGUGGUUAAGAGUCGGAAGAGGAAGAGAAAUCCUCCUGUAUGGUUCGGUGACUACACGGAGAUGAAGAGGAGACAUAGGCCAUCUUCGACGUUUGAUCCCCUGGAGCCACCAGAUGAGAAAUUGUUAACCACUUUCUGAAAGUGGUGUGUUGGACUCAUUCCGAACCACCGACUUCGGGAUUUGAGAAGUGGUGAUUACGGUCCAUCAUUCUUUUGGAUAAUGCUCACACCAAAGGAAUGGCUUACAGAUGACCAUAUAGAUGCAGCAAUGCAUAUGCUGAGGAGGCGACGCACCGACUAUCCACUGACAUUUCCUCAGAAGGGUGUCAUUCUCUCCACAUUCGUCACCACCAUGAUCAGCAGUGCAUGGACGAACCACAAGGGUCCGAGGAGAAACUUUGUGUGGGAGGAUUAUAUCCUGGACUACUGCAGAGGGGUUCAUAAGGUAUUGUUUUAGUAAGAUUUUAAAUGUUGA